rnacentral:rRNA from 1 species
UUAAGCGACUAAGCGUACACGGUGGAUGCCCUGGCAGUCAGAGGCGAUGAAGGACGUGCUAAUCUGCGAUAAGCGUCGGUAAGGUGAUAUGAACCGUUAUAACCGGCGAUUUCCGAAUGGGGAAACCCAGUGUGUUUCGACACACUAUCAUUAACUGAAUCCAUAGGUUAAUGAGGCGAACCGGGGGAACUGAAACAUCUAAGUACCCCGAGGAAAAGAAAUCAACCGAGAUUCCCCAGUAGCGGCGAGCGAACGGGGAGCAGCCCAGAGCCUGAAUCAGUGUGUGUGUUAGUGGAAGUGUCUGGAAAGGCGCGCGAUACAGGGUGACAGCCCCGUACACAAAAAUGCACAUGCUGUGAGCUCGAUGAGUAGGGCGGGACACGUGGUAUCCUGUCUGAAUAUGGGGGGACCAUCCUCCAAGGCUAAAUACUCCUGACUGACCGAUAGUGAACCAGUACCGUGAGGGAAAGGCGAAAAGAACCCCGGCGAGGGGAGUGAAAAAGAACCUGAAACCGUGUACGUACAAGCAGUGGGAGCCCUGAUUUAUCAGGGUGACUGCGUACCUUUUGUAUAAUGGGUCAGCGACUUAUAUUCUGUAGCAAGGUUAACCGAAUAGGGGAGCCGGAGGGAAACCGAGUCUUAACUGGGCGUUAAGUUGCAGGGUAUAGACCCGAAACCCGGUGAUCUAGCCAUGGGCAGGUUGAAGGUUGGGUAACACUAACUGGAGGACCGAACCGACUAAUGUUGAAAAAUUAGCGGAUGACUUGUGGCUGGGGGUGAAAGGCCAAUCAAACCGGGAGAUAGCUGGUUCUCCCCGAAAGCUAUUUAGGUAGCGCCUCGUGAAUUCAUCUCCGGGGGUAGAGCACUGUUUCGGCAAGGGGGUCAUCCCGACUUACCAACCCGAUGCAAACUGCGAAUACCGGAGAAUGUUAUCACGGGAGACACACGGCGGGUGCUAACGUCCGUCGUGAAGAGGGAAACAACCCAGACCGCCAGCUAAGGUCCCAAAGUCAUGGUUAAGUGGGAAACGAUGUGGGAAGGCCCAGACAGCCAGGAUGUUGGCUUAGAAGCAGCCAUCAUUUAAAGAAAGCGUAAUAGCUCACUGGUCGAGUCGGCCUGCGCGGAAGAUGUAACGGGGCUAAACCAUGCACCGAAGCUGCGGCAGCGACACUGUGUGUUGUUGGGUAGGGGAGCGUUCUGUAAGCCUGUGAAGGUGUGCUGUGAGGCAUGCUGGAGGUAUCAGAAGUGCGAAUGCUGACAUAAGUAACGAUAAAGCGGGUGAAAAGCCCGCUCGCCGGAAGACCAAGGGUUCCUGUCCAACGUUAAUCGGGGCAGGGUGAGUCGACCCCUAAGGCGAGGCCGAAAGGCGUAGUCGAUGGGAAACAGGUUAAUAUUCCUGUACUUGGUGUUACUGCGAAGGGGGGACGGAGAAGGCUAUGUUGGCCGGGCGACGGUUGUCCCGGUUUAAGCGUGUAGGCUGGUUUUCCAGGCAAAUCCGGAGAAUCAAGGCUGAGGCGUGAUGACGAGGCACUACGGUGCUGAAGCAACAAAUGCCCUGCUUCCAGGAAAAGCCUCUAAGCAUCAGGUAACAUUAAAUCGUACCCCAAACCGACACAGGUGGUCAGGUAGAGAAUACCAAGGCGCUUGAGAGAACUCGGGUGAAGGAACUAGGCAAAAUGGUGCCGUAACUUCGGGAGAAGGCACGCUGAUAUGUAGGUGAAGCGACUUGCUCGUGGAGCUGAAAUCAGUCGAAGAUACCAGCUGGCUGCAACUGUUUAUUAAAAACACAGCACUGUGCAAACACGAAAGUGGACGUAUACGGUGUGACGCCUGCCCGGUGCCGGAAGGUUAAUUGAUGGGGUCAGCGCAAGCGAAGCUCUUGAUCGAAGCCCCGGUAAACGGCGGCCGUAACUAUAACGGUCCUAAGGUAGCGAAAUUCCUUGUCGGGUAAGUUCCGACCUGCACGAAUGGCGUAAUGAUGGCCAGGCUGUCUCCACCCGAGACUCAGUGAAAUUGAACUCGCUGUGAAGAUGCAGUGUACCCGCGGCAAGACGGAAAGACCCCGUGAACCUUUACUAUAGCUUGACACUGAACAUUGAGCCUUGAUGUGUAGGAUAGGUGGGAGGCUUUGAAGUGUGGACGCCAGUCUGCAUGGAGCCGACCUUGAAAUACCACCCUUUAAUGUUUGAUGUUCUAACGUGGACCCGUGAUCCGGGUUGCGGACAGUGUCUGGUGGGUAGUUUGACUGGGGCGGUCUCCUCCUAAAGAGUAACGGAGGAGCACGAAGGUUGGCUAAUCCUGGUCGGACAUCAGGAGGUUAGUGCAAUGGCAUAAGCCAGCUUGACUGCGAGCGUGACGGCGCGAGCAGGUGCGAAAGCAGGUCAUAGUGAUCCGGUGGUUCUGAAUGGAAGGGCCAUCGCUCAACGGAUAAAAGGUACUCCGGGGAUAACAGGCUGAUACCGCCCAAGAGUUCAUAUCGACGGCGGUGUUUGGCACCUCGAUGUCGGCUCAUCACAUCCUGGGGCUGAAGUAGGUCCCAAGGGUAUGGCUGUUCGCCAUUUAAAGUGGUACGCGAGCUGGGUUUAGAACGUCGUGAGACAGUUCGGUCCCUAUCUGCCGUGGGCGCUGGAGAACUGAGGGGGGCUGCUCCUAGUACGAGAGGACCGGAGUGGACGCAUCACUGGUGUUCGGGUUGUCAUGCCAAUGGCACUGCCCGGUAGCUAAAUGCGGAAGAGAUAAGUGCUGAAAGCAUCUAAGCACGAAACUUGCCCCGAGAUGAGUUCUCCCUGAGACCUAGAGUCUCCUGAAGGAACGUUGAAGACGACGACGUUGAUAGGCCGGGUGUGUAAGCGCAGCGAUGCGUUGAGCUAACCGGUACUAAUGAACCGUGAGGCUUAACCUU